UAAGAAUUACUCUAUAAUUAUAACCAUUGGGUUUUGGAAAGUAAGUCUGAACCACAAACGUUAAUUAUAGGUCCAUUGAAUGAUAUCGUCCCAUAUAAAACCGUACGUAAAUUGUGUCCAUCUCUUGAAUAUAAUAUACAUAUAAAGAAUUGAAAACUAGCCUAAUAACCAGCCCCUUUCGUCAAACUUGUUGGUCUCCAUCUUCAAGUAGUGUCCAAAAGGGAUUGGUUAGAGAGGCUAUUAUAUUAUAUAUUACAUAUAUUGAAUCAAAUAAAUAAAUGGCAUCGAGAAAAAUGAUGGUGGUGAUGAUGAUGAUAAUGGUGAUGAUCGCAGUGGGUUGGAUGGAGGUGGGAGAAGCAGUCCGGUACAGGACAGUGGAACCCUGCUUCACCAACUGUAUAAACAAUUGCAUGGCUGUUGGGAGCUCCUCUCCUUUCCAUUGUAGCAAUCAAUGCCUGCCUUUGUGCUCCAGAAUGGAAUGCUUCUUUUGUCUACUAAAGAAACAAGACUCUUCUUCAAGCUCGCUGCCAUCAAGUACAUCUAAACUUCAGCCACCGACCGCCGCCACACCAAAAACAUCUCCAACCGCCCGCCGUCACGCAUAGCCCGUCUCCAACCACCUGCUGCUUAUCUUCAUCUCUUUAAGUUCUAUUUGUAAAUGUAAAAACUUGAUUUAUUGAAUGAUUGUUGUCCAGAUUUAUUCCUUUGGUAUAUUGAAGAAAAUUAACAUAUGAUUAAAGUGAACUAAAAGAUGCUUCAAAGUCUCACGUUGAAGCCACUUCGCUCAUUUUAACGAUUGAAUAGUGUAUUUAGUUUUGGUUGUAUGUGCUAAAAAGCAAUAUUUAAGUGAAUUUUUACUUUUUCAUAAACUUUUAUUUAGUUACUACAUCUACUUAUAAAUUUUGUGUGAGAUAUUGAAAAUUAUGGUUUGUUUUUCAAUUUGUUUAUAUUUUUAGCAAAUUGAAAAUGAAUUAAUAUUAUAUUUUCAAUUUCCAAGUAUUGAUUUAUUGUAAUAAUUAUGUUAUUUAUACUUUUGUAAGGAAUAUUCGAAUUUUAGCAAUUGAUAUUUAAUUUAAAAAUAACAUAAAA